GAUGAACGCUGGCGGCGUGCUUAACACAUGCAAGUCGAACGGAGUUUUAAAGUGGAAGUUUUCGGAUGGAAACUUUAAAACUUAGUGGCGGACGGGUGAGUAACGCGUGGGUAACCUGCCUCACACAGGGGGAUAACACUUAGAAAUAGGUGCUAAUACCGCAUAAGCGCACAGUACCGCAUGGUACCGUGUGAAAAACUCCGGUGGUGUGAGAUGGACCCGCGUCUGAUUAGCUAGUUGGUGAGGUAACGGCCCACCAAGGCGACGAUCAGUAGCCGGCCUGAGAGGGUGAACGGCCACAUUGGGACUGAGACACGGCCCAAACUCCUACGGGAGGCAGCAGUGGGGAAUAUUGCACAAUGGGGGAAACCCUGAUGCAGCGACGCCGCGUGAGUGAAGAAGUAUUUCGGUAUGUAAAGCUCUAUCAGCAGGGAAGAAAAUGACGGUACCUGACUAAGAAGCCCCGGCUAACUACGUG
rnacentral:rRNA from 1 species